rnacentral:tRNA from 1 species
GUGCCCUUGACCGAGAGGCUAGGUAGCGGGCUGCAACCCCGUCAACGCAGGUUCGAAUCCUGUAGGGCACUCCG